rnacentral:lncRNA from 1 species
UUUUAUCUUCAUGAAAGAAGAUUUAUUAAGUUAAGAGCAAUACAUGAAUUGGGUAUUAUUGAAACUACAAGGCUUUCUUGACUCAUAAUAGUAAAUUUUCUACUCUGUUGGCAGAAAAGCACUAUGUUUUCUGUUCCCAGGCUACUCAUGUAAAAUCCUUGGUAUUAUUUUUGCUUUCGCUGUUGAACAUUUGUGAAGUGUUUAAUUAGCCUUCUCAAGGUAGAUCAAAACCUCAAACACAAUUAACAAAUUGAUAUUAUGCCGCAAAGAGGAAAAUCUCCUGUUCUUGUUCAGACAACAAAACAGUCCGUAUAUAAUAGUCCAUGAUGAUUACUGUCUCCUCGACUCCUCUGUGCACUUGCUGCUUAGUGUGUGUUUGUACAAGGCCAUCUUGUCAGGCUGCAUCCUUUAUUACUGCCACUAGAAAGAAAACAAAACAGUUGGAUUUUGGUUUAUAUUAUUUUAUAUAUUACAAAGCAGCGCUAUUAAGUAUCAGCACUGGCACCGACUUCAGUGGCAGCAGAGUGUAAGGGAUCCUUCCCAAUAGAUGGUCACUCUGGAGUCACCCAGAGAUUUCAGAUAAAAAUGUUGCCAGUAAUGGCAAAGAUCUACUUGCUUUUUAUUUCACCCGCGGACAAGGAUGGAGGCUUCUAAGUACUGGCAAAUGAAGCCAUUUGCAAAAAAUAAACGUAGUAGAAACUCACAGUGAAAGGCACCACAGUAAUCAACUGCAAAACACCUCCUGUACAAAAGGUCAGGAAGCACAUGUGCUCCAAAUGCUCUACGGCUUCUUUGUAAACAUGAAGAGAAAUACAUCUAGAAUUCAGCCGCAAGUAUUUCUCUAGUAACAUAAGCCUGCUCCAGGUUUUGUUCUCUGACUGUGCUUGUACUGUUGCUAGAAAAGAUGAUCUGGACCUGCCUGCACUCCCGAAAUGGAGGAACCUGUGAUGGGUAAGAGAUGUCAGCUCAGCACUCUCAAAAGGAAGUAAGAAAUCCAUUCUUCAUGUCCGAUCCCAGCCGAUCAAGCUUGCAAUAAUUGGAGCGAGGACGCAAACUGUGGGCCAGAUCAGGUCUUCAGACUUCACCCACGCUCUGCCAGAGCCGUGUCCUGCUGCAGCCCGUGCCAGCGCACUGGUGAUUUAUGGUGGGUGGAAACUCCACUCCCCUGCUCCAACAUGUUUGUAGAAGGGGGUGGGACAGUCCAGGAGACCUGCUUCUCCUCCUCCUUCUCAUCUGGAGACAAAGCAAGGCCAGAUUUCCUUGGGUUUAUAUGUAAUUGUUCAAGACACAUGGCAGUUGGUUUGCAUGAGGAAGUAACCACACUGCACGCAAUACAGCCCUCCAUGUUAUUGCCUUCCAUCUGUUGGUUACAAUGGAACUAAUGGAGUUAUGCUGCAGUCCCUGUAAGGUAGAGAAGUGUGCCUGUAUGACAUAAAUCACAAUAUAAACCAACACUGCUCUUGGAUUGCAACCCAGAAAGCCAACUGUGUCCAGGGCUGCAUCACCAGCAGUAUGAGCAGCAGGUCGAGGGAGGGGAUUCUUCCCCUCUACCGCACCCUCGUGAGACCCCACCUGCAGCUAGUCCUGUGUCCAGCUCUGGGGCAAAAACACAAGAAGGAUGUGGACCUGCUUAAGC